AUGAUGCGGGAGAUGGGGAUUUCAAGCUCAGCCCCUACUACUACAUAUACUAGACCAAUUACUAGAGCUCGCGCACGCCAAUUGAAUUAUCAGGUACUUUCGUUUCUUGGUAAUGGUUCUAAUGUUCAUGAGAAUAUGAUGCUGCCUAAAUUGGAUACAUUUGUUUUGCUUACAAAUGAAGGGCCUGGCAUGGAUAAGAGGGAUGAACACUGGAGCAAGACCAACCAUGGAGAUGAUGGCAUGCGCAAGGGGAACAAGAAUGGAGUUACAACUGAUGAUUUCAGGACUUUGAAGCCACCAUAA
rnacentral:rRNA from 1 species